GACGAACCGUGCGAACGUUAUUCGGAAUCACUGGGCUUAAAGCGCGUGUAGGCGGGAGGGCACGUCCGUUGCUGAAAUCCCCCGGCUCAACCGGGGAACGGGCGCGGAUACGACUCUCCUUGAGGGGCGUAGGGGGACCUGGAACUUCCGGUGGAGCGGUGAAAUGCGUUGAGAUCGGAAGGAACGCCCGUGGCGAAAGCGAGGUCCUGGACGCUUACUGACGCUGAGACGCGAAAGCCAGGGGAGCGAACGGG
rnacentral:rRNA from 1 species